rnacentral:pre_miRNA from 1 species
UAAGUAGACAUCCAAAGGGAUCGCAUUGAUCCCAAAUUACAUGUAAGACUCGGGAUCAUGCUAUCCUUUUGGAUUCCUCCUU